UACACUCCUGCGGGAGGCAGCAGUGGGGAAUAUUGCACAAUGGGCGCAAGCCUGAUGCAGCCAUGCCGCGUGUAUGAAGAAGGCCUUCGGGUUGUAAAGUACUUUCAGCGGGGAGGAAGGCGAUAAGGUUAAUAACCUUGUUGAUUGACGUUACCCGCAGAAGAAGCACCGGCUAACUCCGUGCCAGCAGCCGCGGUAAUACGGAGGGUGCAAGCGUUAAUCGGAAUUACUGGGCGUAAAGCGCACGCAGGCGGUCUGUCAAGUCGGAUGUGAAAUCCCCGGGCUCAACCUGGGAACUGCAUUCGAAACUGGCAGGCUAGAGUCUUGUAGAGGGGGGUAGAAUUCCAGGUGUAGCGGUGAAAUGCGUAGAGAUCUGGAGGAAUACCGGUGGCGAAGGCGGCCCCCUGGACAAAGACUGACGCUCAGGUGCGAAAGCGUGGGGAGCAAACAGGAUUAGAAACCCUGGUAGUCCCAUG
rnacentral:rRNA from 1 species